rnacentral:tRNA from 1 species
UCGGGGAUCGUCUAAUGGCAGGACAGGAAUUUUUGGUGUUCCUUAUCAAGGUUCGAAUCCUUGUCCCCGAACCA